UGCUGGCAUCAGGAGGCCCUGGCCCUGCGUUGCUUGUCUUCUCCACGAUCUGUGUCGGGAGUGGAGAGGCAAAGCUGACGUAGCAGCUGCUGCGGUUAUUGCUGCUCCAGAAGGCUGGGCGCUCACACCCUCCGGAAGGGGCAGCCCCGAGUGCUCAGGGAGUGAAGAGACUCUGCAUUCCGGAAACCUACCUUCCCAGGGAAAGGAAGAGAAAGGGUUAUCAACAAUCUGCUGGCCUGCAAGAACCAGCAGGGCUGUCCACCUGCCAAGUGUCAUCUGAGACCCGCAGGCUAAAGGCAGAAAAACUGAACUCCCUUGACCCAGAUUGGAAAGAAUGUUGCAACCAUUCAUUCACAUUCGGAGAGAAGUUUGCUGGGCUCAGCUUCCACUUUCCUCAUUCAUCCGGAGCCUUUCUGCUUUCUUUUUCUAGAGCUCUGGCAGAUCCUGCCCCAUGUGGAACCUGGGCUCUGAGCAAGAAAACAUCUGUGGUUGGAAAUAGGGGCUGGUGAUUCAAGCCUGUGUGGGACGUGGAGAGGAUGCCCUGAGCCCUUUGCUCAACAAACAGCUCUCUCCUGCGAGGAGGAGAGAGGCCAUCUGUCUGACUGCUUUGACACUUUUACCCAGUGACCUUCAGGGCUGCAGACACCUUCCCGGAUUCAGCGGCCAGGCCCCGAGCAGCCGGGUCGGGUGCGGCCAGGCCCGGAGCAGCAGCUGCCAGGCUGGGAGCGGCCUGGCCCGGAGUGGUCGGGCCCAGAGCAACUGGGCCCAGAGCAGCCGGGUCAGGUGCGGCCAGGCCCGGAGCAGCAGCAGCCACACCCGAAGCAGCCAGGUCGGGAGCGGCAGUGGCCAGACA